rnacentral:rRNA from 1 species
AACGAACGCUGGCGGCAGGCUUAACACAUGCAAGUCGAGCGCCCCGCAAGGGGAGCGGCAGACGGGCGAGUAACGCGUGGGAAUCUACCCAUCUCUACGGAAUAACGCAUGGAAACGUGUGCUAAUACCGUAUACGUCCUUCGGGAGAAAGAUUUAUCGGAGAUGGAUGGGCCCGCGCGGGUUUAGCUAGUUGGUGGGGUAAAGGCCUACCGAGGCGACGAUCCAUAGCUGGUCUGAGAGGAUGAUCAGCCACACUGGGACUGAGACACGGCCCAGAGUCCUACAGGAGGCAGGAGGGGGGAAUCUUAGACAAUGGGCUCGAGCCAGAGCCAGCCAUGCCGCGUGAUUGAUGAAGGCCCUAGGGUUGUAAAGCUCUUUCAACGCUGAAGAUAAUGACGGUAACCGGAGAAGAAGCCCCGGCUAACUUCGUGCCAGCCGCCGCGGUAAGAC